rnacentral:lncRNA from 1 species
GCCGCCGAUCAUAUUCAGCCCAGUCAAAUCAAACUGAACAACAAAUAGGAUUCUAUGAUCAAUAUUUUUUAAACCAUCAUCUUCAUGAAAACUUGCACAAAUUUAUUCAAUAACCCUAAAUAGAAAAAAAAUCUUAUCCAAAAGUAUUAUGUAUAGUCACAGCAAAUUAGACCAUUUAUAAUAUAAAAAGAAAAAUAAUG